AGGCGGCAGCUAUACAUGCAGUCGAGCGGACCGACGGGAGCUUGCUCCCUUAGGUCAGCGGCGGACGGGUGAGUAACACGUGGGUAACCUGCCUGUAAGACUGGGAUAACUCCGGGAAACCGGGGCUAAUACCGGAUGCUUGAUUGAACCGCAUGGUUCAAUCAUAAAAGGUGGCUUUUAGCUACCACUUACAGAUGGACCCGCGGCGCAUUAGCUAGUUGGGGAGGUAACGGCUCACCAAGGCGACGAUGCGUAGCCGACCUGAAAGGGGGAUCGGCCACCCUGGGACUGAAACACGGCCCAAACUCCUACGGGAGGCAGCAGUAGGGAAUCUUCCGCAAUGGACGAAAGUCUGACGGAGCAACGCCCCGUGAGUGAUGAAGGUUUUCGGAUCGUAAAACUCUGUUGUUAGGGAAGAACAAGUACCGUUCGAAUAGGGCGGUACCUUGACGGUACCUAACCAGAAAGCCACGGCUAACUACGUGCCAGCAGCCGCGGUAAUACGUAGGUGGCAAGCGUUGUCCGGAAUUAUUGGGCGUAAAGCGCGCGCAGGCGGUUUCUUAAGUCUGAUGUGAAAGCCCCCGGCUCAACCGGGGAGGGUCAUUGGAAACUGGGGAACUUGAGUGCAGAAGAGGAGAGUGGAAUUCCACGUGUAGCGGUGAAAUGCGUAGAGAUGUGGAGGAACACCAGUGGCGAAGGCGACUCUCUGGUCUGUAACUGACGCUGAGGCGCGAAAGCGUGGGGAGCGAACAGGAUUAGAUACCCUGGUAGUCCACGCCGUAAACGAUGAGUGCUAAGUGUUAGAGGGUUUCCGCCCUUUAGUGCUGCAGCAAACGCAUUAAGCACUCCGCCUGGGGAGUACGGUCCCAAGACUGAAACUCAAAGGAAUUGACCGGGGGCCCGCCCAAGCGGUGGAGCAUGUGAUUUAAUUCGAAGCACGCGAAGAACUUACAGUCUUGACAUCCUCUGACAACCCUAGAGAUAUGCUCCCGUCGGGGCAAUGACAGUGGUGCAUGCUGGCGUCAGCCCAUUCUGAAUGUUGUUAGUCCGACGAGCGCACUUGAUCUUAUUGCCAGAUUCAUGGACCUAGUACCUGCCCGUAAACCGAGAAA
rnacentral:rRNA from 1 species